CUGGUGGCGAGUGGCGAACGGGUGAGUAAUACAUCGGAACGUGCCCUAUAGUGGGGGAUAACCCGGCGAAAGCCGGACUAAUACCGCGUACGACCUAUGGGUGAAAGCAGGGGACUCGAAAGGGCCUUGCGCUAUGGGAGCGGCCGAUGGCAGAUUAGCUAGUUGGUGGGGUAAAGGCCUACCAAGGCGACGAUCUGUAGCUGGUCUGAGAGGACGACCAGCCACACUGGGACUGAGACACGGCCCAGACUCCUACGGGAGGCAGCAGUGGGGAAUUUUGGACAAUGGGCGCAAGCCUGAUCCAGCCAUGCCGCGUGCGGGAAGAAGGCCUUCGGGUUGUAAACCGCUUUUGUCGGGGAAGAAAAGCUCUUGGCUAAUACCUGGGAGUGAUGACGGUACCCGAAGAAUAAGCACCGGCUAACUACGUGCCAGCAGCCGCGGUAAUACGUAGGGUGCAAGCGUUAAUCGGAAUUACUGGGCGUAAAGCGUGCGCAGGCGGUGAUGUAAGACAGGUGUGAAAUCCCCGGGCUUAACCUGGGAACUGCAUUUGUGACUGCAUCGCUGGAGUGCGGCAGAGGGGGGAUGGAAUUCCGCGUGUAGCAGUGAAAUGCGUAGAUAUGCGGAGGAACACCGAUGGCGAAGGCAAUCCCCCUGGGCCUGCACUGACGCUCAUGCACGAAAGCGUGGGGAGCAAACAGGAUUAGAUACCCUGGUAGUCCACGCCCCUAAACGAUGUCAACUGGUUGUUGGGUCUUCACUGACUCA
rnacentral:rRNA from 1 species